CCGCUCCGGCGGAUGGGGGGGGGGGGGAAGGGGGGGGAAGCCUCAACUUCGGCGGGUGGCGCUGGCGGAGACUUUCCCCUCACUUGCCGCGCAUGGUGCAACUCCGCUUCCCCCGGGGUCCCGGCCAGCCUGCGCCCAGACGUCUUGUUUUGACAUUACAGGGAAUUUCGUGCUCGUUAUACAUUUAAGCCCAAAGCCUAGGGGUGGAUGCGCUGUCACCGAGGGCUCUUACAGAGACUCAUGACGUCACCUGAGGCAGCCCGACCGAGAUGAUGGCUGCACGCAUCCGUCUAACUGUUGAAAGGGGAACUCUCGAAACGUUGGGAAACGGUUUUUGCGGGCUGGUGUGAUGCGUCCUGGUGUUCAGAGCCUAGAGAUCGCGGUGGUGCGAGGCCAUCAGCGCUUGGACAGACGUACAAGCGAAUGUCUCCCCUGCUAAGUAAGCUCCCAUUCGACUUACUUACUGUUGUUUUUUCAGAAGCAGAACCUACAUUAGAUUUUUAUUACUUAAAUGACGUAAACAAAUAAAACUCCCUCCAGAUUUA